AGUGAACGCUGGCGGCGUGCUUAACACAUGCAAGUCGAACGAGAACGGGUUAUAGCUUGCUAUAAUUGUCAGCUAAGUGGCGCACGGGUGAGUAAUGUAUAGGUAAUAUGCCUCUUACUAAGGGAUAACAAAUGGAAACGUUUGCUAAUACCUUAUACUCCUUAUUAACAGAAGUUAAUAAGGGAAAGAUUUAUUGGUAAUAGAUUAGCCUGUAUUGUAUCAGUUAGUUGGUGGGGUAAUGUCUUACCAAGACUAUGACACAUAACUGGUUUAAGAGGAUGCUCAGUCACACUGGAACUGAGACACGGUCCAGACUCCUACGGGAGGCAGCAGUGGGGAAUAUUGCACAAUGGACGAAAGUCUGAUGCAGCAACGCCGCGUGGAGGAUGACACAUUUCGGUGCGUAAACUCCUUUUAUAUGAGAAGAUAAUGACGGUAUUAUAUGAAUAAGCACCGGCUAACUCCGUGCCAGCCGCCGCGGUAAUAC
rnacentral:rRNA from 1 species